UUGCUUCGGAAGCACAUAUGCCGUAAUUGGAACAAUACAGAGGAGAUUAGCGUGGCCUCUGUGCCAGGACAACACACCAAUUCCUGAAGCAUUCCAUAUUGAA
ensembl:snRNA U6 U6 spliceosomal RNA